rnacentral:rRNA from 1 species
UUCGCUAUAAAAUGANGCUMUAUUGUAUCAGCUAGUUGGUAAGGUAAUGGCUUACCAAGGCUMUGACGCAUAACUGGUCUGAGAGGAUGAUCAGUCACACUGGAACUGAGACACGGUCCAGACUCCUACGGGAGGCAGCAGUAGGGAAUAUUGCUCAAUGGGGGAAACCCUGAAGCANCAACGCCGCGUGGAGGAUGACACUUUUCGGAGCGUMAACUCCNYUUCUUUGGGAAGAAUAAUGACGGUACSAAAGGAAUAAGCACCGGC